rnacentral:misc_RNA from 1 species
UACUUGCUUGCAUAGGUUCUGUCACAAUGCAAUGAAAAUAGAAAUGGAGUGAACAUUGCAUAAGAAAUCAUUUUGGAAAAAUUCAUUAUCUAAUAAUUAAAUCAAUGGACAAACGUAUUUAAGUCAUUAUAAAUGUUUCACAUCAGGGCAUGUGUUGCAAGAUGCGUACAAAUAUGUUAUAUGGUUUCCUAGCAUGUCAAAGCAAUACAGAGAGAAAGGGAGAUGUUUAGGCUGACUCAAAGUCAAAUCUAGACCACCACCCCCUCCCGCCUCAGAAAGUAAGAGAGAGAGUAAAAGACAAAAACACUGUCUGAGGACGUCAGACAGGUUAUUGAAACCAAGUUAAAUUAUUAACUUGCCGCUUUACUACAACUAAAAUUGACCACAAAAAAAGAUUGAAACGAAUGAUGAAUCCAGGUACUUACGGAUCAAGCAGACUUAAACUUCG